rnacentral:lncRNA from 1 species
CAUAUAGUUAAAAACUAAUUUGUAAUUUCGAUUAAAUUAGAGUGGUUACGAUUAACUUUGAUUACAUGAAAAAAAAAAUGAUUGUACUUAUUGUGAAGUGUAUGGUCAAUAAGGUACUAAAAAGGGGGUAUAUUAUGGUGGGACUAUUUUGUUGUCAAACUACCAAAAGAAAAGAGUAAAAGAAGUGAAGGGCAGUUUCGUCUUUUUCUGGAUAACUGCCAAAGUCCUAGCCUGCAUAAGGCAAGAUUCACAUAAUCCUCAAGCCAAAAUAAAAAGAUAAAAAAAAAAAUUCAGGAAAUAAGUGUGUAACAUGUUUAGAAAUGAUAAAUGUACCCGUAAGUAUUUGUUGACUGUAAAUGCGUAAGGGAUAAUAGGUUGAAGUUGAACUGAAGCAGAAGUGUAUGCAUUGUUGAAAGACUUAACAAAAAAUAGAAAGAUAAAUAUAUGCCAUCAAAUUAUUAAUAAGUAAAGUAAAAAGAAUUUAGCAGCUUUAUUAAUGACUAUUAAGAUUGAUCCUCUAUCUAAAAAAGACAUCUCAUGAAUAGUGAUUACCACAGCUGAGAGAUUAUGCAUCGACAUAUGAAGAUAAGGAAGAUGAAUGCUGGCAUGAAUGGAAAGAACUUUCACACUUUGUUCCCCUGUUCACCAGCAUAAUCAGAUUGUUAGGAAACUAAUUGACAUUGAUUUGAUAGAGAAAGAACAAAUGUGAAAUUUAUAUGUAAAAAGUCAAAAGGCAGCCAAAACACAUAAAAUAACAAAAUAUUACCCUUGUUUUUCAUCCCAAUUAAUAGCCAUAGUCUCGUCCCCUGCUACUACGAAUGAAGAAACAAAAAGAUAAAACCACAAGAUUAAUGAUUGUGUGUAAUAAGUAAAUAAGCCAAGUGAACUUACAUUUUGAAAGGUUCUUGGGGUUGGGGAACACACAGACCGUCUCCACAGCUGAAGCUGGACUAAAAUUUCAACCUUUAAAGUACUGAAAAUCAUCACCAAUAGCCCCAAAUAUCUCUUCCUUCCAAAAUAGUUUCAGCAACAAAAUCAGAAUCAAUGUCUACUUCAGAGUCUGACUCACUACACCUAGAAAUUGGGAACAACACCAUUAAUGGCAAGCACAACCUGAAUAAUCAUAUCAUGAAAUAAAAUUAGCAAACAAACAACAUCCACAAACCAAAUGCCGCUCAUUCAGAGCCAUGGCUAGAAAUUAGGUUUCAAGUUUAGGAUUUUCUUUUAUAUAAUUAGCAGGUUGGUAGCCAGUAGAAACUCAACCCAUGCGGUAGAAAUCGAUAAAUGGCAUCAAAAUCUAGGAUUAAAAAACAUCAAGGGUAAUACAACAUAAACAGAUCUCAGUUGAACUUCAUAGAUUACAUGAAACGAAUACUCACUUACAACAAUUGAGUGUACAGAUAUUACAGUAUAUAGCCCACAAUGGCAACAUACUUACAUUUUGCUACCAACAUAUGCAAUACACUUGAUUUGUUAUAUUUUGCUAUAAUCAGUAAAGUAAUGUAAGUUGCUAUUAUGAGUAAAUUAAAAAAAAACCCCUCAAAAGUUUAUUACUAUAAUUGGUUGGUUAAAAAAAAAGAAAAAGAAAAAAAAAAACUGAAAGAGCAAUGAUCCGAGUGGUUAGUUUUCCAAAAAAAAUCCCAAAGUUCUAUGCUAUAUUUGGUUGGUUUUAAGAAAAAAUAAACGUGUAAUGCUAUAACCGGUUAGUUAUUAAAAAAAACACAAAGUAUAUUGCUAUAUUUGGUUUGUUUAAAAAAACUCAAAGUGAUAUGCAAUAAUUGGUUGAUUUAAAAAAGUUAAUGUGCAAUGUUAUAGUUGGUUAGUUUUUCAAAAAAAAAAAAAUUACAAUGCUAUAAUUUGUUAGUUUUUGACAAAGAAAUUAAAAGUGCAAUUUUAUAGUUGGUUAUCUUUCAAAAGAACUCGAAGUCAAAUGCUAUAAUUGGCUAGUUUUAUUAAUUAAAAAAAACUCAAAGUACAAAGCUCUAAUAGGUUUGUUUUAUAAAAAACUAAAAGUGAUAUGUUUUCCAAAAAAAAAAAAAAAAUUCAAAAUAGUAUGCUAUAAUUGGUUAAGUUUUUGCAUUUAACCCAUAAGAGCUAAAUCCAAGAAAUAGAAACAUAUAUGUAUCUUCCUUGUGGAAUUUCGUUUCCAUGUAAGCUUACCUCUAUAAAGAUGCCAUCUGCAAGAAUAUGCAGGUUUGGAUUAUCUGGUCUGAAGCGGCCACAAGGUGGACUCAUCACAUCAUUUUAUCUCAGCUCCCACUUAAGAGGCUGCAAAAUGAAAUUACAUGUCAAAAGGAACACCACCGUCCUUUAGGCUGAUUAAAGGAUGAAAAUAAAUAGGACUUCUCGCUCUUAUGGUAACAUUAACAAGUAAUCACAUCAUAUGCUUCUGUUUGAGCUAUAAUAGGUGUUAAGAGAUAGCCUCCUUCCAUCGACUUCUGAUAGAAAUAAUUCGAAGCAAAAUGGUAUAAUACACACAAAACGAAUGAAAGUAAGUUGUUAUUUCUGAAAUUUUGCCCUACAAACAAAACCAAAACCGCACCCUGUAAUAGGAAGAANGAAACUAUAUCUUCUAUAAUAAACAGGUCAAUGAAAGCAUAUUGUUAUUAAUAGCAUUUAUUAUUUUUUAUGGAAAAAGCCAACAAAUGCAAAAGCAACAACUAAUUUUGUGUAUUAUAGAAUCCAAACCAAUGGAUGUAUACUGGUAUUGCUUGCAUUCAAAUGCAAAAAAGGGUAUCAAAAUUGUUACUUUGACAACAUCCAAAUUAUAUGUACAAAGAAGAGGACCCAACUUUAACUUCAUGUAAUUUUAGUUAAUAAUGGAAAAGAAUCCUCUCCAAAAUCUUACUUGAUACAUGGAUAAAAUUAUAAUUUUGAGCUCUUAUAAGCCUUUGAAUUAUCUAAGGAGAUUUAAGAUAAAAAUCAAUUCAAAGUACAAAAAUAAUCCCACUAUUUGUUAUCCUUACAAUCAUCGGAAGAAAAUGAACCAAUUAGCAACAAAAAUAAUUUAUCUAUAACAACUAUCAAGUAAGGGACUUAACAGAAUUUGUCCACAGAACAUACCUUCAAACUAAUGUAUACCUCCGAGCUCUGUUUUCAUGUUGUGUGUCAUUUCCCUGUCAUCAAAUUAUUAGAAUUACAUGACAUACUCGAAUCAAAAUAAAUUUUUACAAAAUUGAUAUAUUAAAAUCAAUAGAACUACAAGCAAAUCUAAAUACUUUUUUUUGAAUGGGUUAAUAGCUCCCAGACUUGUUGUCUCAAGCAAAGUGUUUCCAAAUCAUUCCCUAUUUUUAUGUUUUGCAGGCUGUUCAUCAUCCAACCUUCCUGAAAAUGAUGAGCAAGAUGUAACAAAUAGUUGAUUAAUAGCUGAAAAUUAAGAAUUUGAGUAGAAAAUUAAUUGCUGAAAAUUAAGAUAUUAAGAAUUUAAGUAGAAAUACUAUCACCAAAGAAACUUUUUCCCACCAGAAACAAUAAAUGGCAAACUGGAUUCUAACACCAUCAAGUUAGAAGUCGUUGAAAAUCUGGCACCCAAAUGCAAAUGAUGAGAGACAGAGAGGGAGCAGUGGCAAGCACUGAUAGAUGUUCGUCGAUUUUAGGGUGAAAGUGAUACGAAAUAGGGGUAGCAAUGGUGGGUUUAGGGCUAAGAAAGAUUUAAAAAAUCGAAAUAACUCACACACGCUUCUAAAUAAACCGCAACAAAGAAGGGAGAGAAAGAACCUAAACAUGGGAAGCGGAGGCGGAAAAAGGAAUUACUCUUUAUCAUCCUAUCUUGUAAACGUCUUUAACCAUGUGAACGAGAGGGGAGCUAUGGUAUACCGGCAGUGGGAGGCAGUUGUUACCAAAAUUAGGAUAGAGAUAAAAGAAGCAGGAGGCGGCAAGUUGAACCCACAAAACUAAGCAAGAGGUAGCUGUAAAAGAGAAGAAGGAUUGUGACUAAGCAGGCAAUUAAAUUAGGGAUUUUUCAUAAAAGAGGAUGUCAGUUAAUAAGCAACGAAUCAUCAGUCAUAUAAGCAGGAGGCGGAGAGCUGGAGAUAUGGGCACUUCAAACAAAGCAGCAGGUGGCGAGUUGUAUGAUUGACGAAGCAAAGAAGAGCAAUACGACAAACAGGAGACGAAGGAUUGGAAAGAAUAAACAUGGGAAAGAGUUUGGUUUCUUAUUGGCUUAAAAUAGUUGGUGACUUGUAGUUGGAGAUUGCACAGCUCGAUCUAGAUUCUAGGGAUUCAAUAUACAUGCAGAUGGAUAACUUUGAUUAAACACUUCACAAAUCGAUUUAGGGAUUCAUAAAUCGAUGGUGAAAUAAAACCUAGGGCUUCAAAUUAAUCAACUUAUUGGUCGAAAUUAAAAUUUAUAUUUGGUAAAACCAAUAGCGGCGUGUAAAGCCAGGUAGGAGGGAAGCAAUUACGUGAAGAGAUAGAUGAAUAGGAGAUACAAACACGUCUCAUCAAGGAAAGCUGGAGUGGCAGAAGACGUCAAUGAAGCAUCUCGGUGGCGAGAAGCUUACGUCCCAGGAGUUUGCAAGGCGGUGACCGACUUCCAAUUGGAUAAGACUGGUUAUGAUAAUAAGCAAGCAAGCAUUUUGGUGAAACAGGCAAGCNNNNN